AUUGAACGCUGGCGGCAGGCCUAACACAUGCAAGUCGAGCGGAUGAAGGGAGCUUGCUCCUGGAUUCAGCGGCGGACGGGUGAGUAAUGCCUAGGAAACUGCCUGGUUGUGGGGGAUAACGUCCGGAAACGGGCGCUAAUACCGCAUACGUCCUGAGGGAGAAAGUGGGGGAUCUUCGGACCUCACGCUAUCAGAUGAGCCUAGGUCGGAUUAGCUAGUUGGUGGGGUAAAGGCCUACCAAGGCGACGAUCCGUAACUCGUCUGAGAGGAUGAUCAGUCACACUGGAACUGAGACACGGUCCAGACUCCUACGGGAGGCAGCAGUGGGGAAUAUUGGACAAUGGGCGAAAGCCUGAUCCAGCCAUGCCGCGUGUGUGAAGAAGGUCUUCGGAUUGUAAAGCACUUUAAGUUGGGAGGAAGGGCAGUAAAUUAAUACCUUGCUGUUUUGACGGUACCAACAGAGUAAGCACCGGCUAACUUCGUG
rnacentral:rRNA from 1 species